AGAGGAAUAGCUGGGUCAAAUGUUGGUUCCAUUCCAGAUUUCCAAGGAAUCUCCACACUGCUUUUUAUAUUGGCUGCACCAAUUUGCAGUCCCACCAGCAAU
rnacentral:pre_miRNA from 1 species